rnacentral:rRNA from 1 species
UACGGAGGGCGCGAGCGUUGUCCGGAUUCACUGGGCGUAAAGCGGGUGUAGGCGGAUGGGUAAGUCGGACGUGAAAGCCCAGGGCUCAACCCUUGAGUGGAGUCCGAAACUGCCUAACUUGAGGACGGGAGAGGGAGGUGGAAUUUCCGGUGUAUCGGUGAAAUGCGUAGAUAUCGGGAGGAACACCAGUGGCGAAGGGGGCCUCCUGGCCCGUUCCUUAUGCUGAGACCCGAAAGCGUGGGGAGCAAACCGG